AUUGAACGCUGGCGGCAGGCCUAACACAUGCAAGUCGAGCGGAUGAGGGUAGCUUGCUACCUGAUUCAGCGGCGGACGGGUGAGUAAUGCCUAGGAAUCUGCCCGAUAGUGGGGGACAACGUUUCGAAAGGAACGCUAAUACCGCAUACGUCCUACGGGAGAAAGUGGGGGAUCUUCGGACCUCACGCUAUCGGAUGAGCCUAGGUCGGAUUAGCUAGUUGGUGAGGUAAUGGCUCACCAAGGCUACGAUCCGUAACUGGUCUGAGAGGAUGAUCAGUCACACUGGAACUGAGACACGGUCCAGACUCCUACGGGAGGCAGCAGUGGGGAAUAUUGGACAAUGGGCGAAAGCCUGAUCCAGCCAUGCCGCGUGUGUGAAGAAGGUCUUCGGAUUGUAAAGCACUUUAAGUUGGGAGGAAGGGCUGUAGGCUAAUAUCCUGCGGUUUUGACGUUACCAACAGAAUAAGCACCGGCUAACUUCGUGCCAGCCGCCGCGGUAA
rnacentral:rRNA from 1 species